rnacentral:misc_RNA from 1 species
GCAAGUUUAAGGAUGCAAAAAUAUUUUCACUUUUUAACGGGCAAGACUUUAAGGAUAACCAUCUAGCAAGCAUGAAUGCGCCAGAAAUACUAUUCUUUAACUUGGGAAAACAAGAACUAAAAAAGAUUUGAUAGAGAGAACAAACAAGCACUUCUCUAUUAAUUCUGCUAAAGUGUGUUUGUAUUUGUUUUGCCAUCGUUUUAAGGAAGAUAAGAUUUGUUUUACUUAGUUUUGUUCGUCAUUUAAGUUAGGAGGAUACCUUACCCUCCCAAUCUCCUAGGAUUCAUAUAAAAGAAAUACAUGCACCACGAAUGUCUGCCACCAAGUGUUUAAACCUCCUUCAAUGUGCACACUCAUGCAGGACAUUAAAAAAUAAA